GCCUAGAUUGGUAGAUUAAUUACGCUUCACAUCUUGCUAUGUUUAACCACAUUUAAUAUUGCCGUGUACCUAAUCAGGAUAGAACUAAAUAAUACACUUAAUGUGUAGUGUUUGUUUGUGUGAUUUUCCAUGCCGUGACUUGCAUGUACUCAGCUGCUCAUGCAUCAUUUGUGUUGUGCAUUGUGUGGUGAAUAUCAUGUGUUGAUUCUUGUUUCUGGUUUUCCCCGUCUCGAUAGAGUUUCGCAAGUGUGUCGGAUUG
rnacentral:lncRNA from 1 species